CAGUCGAACGGUAGCAGGCCUUCGGGCGCUGACGAGUGGCGGACGGGUGAGUAACGCGUAGGAAUCUGCCUGUUAGUGGGGGACAACGUGGGGAAACCCACGCUAAUACCGCAUACGCCCUACGGGGGAAAGCGGGGGCUCUUCGGACCUCGCGCUAACAGAUGAGCCUGCGUUAGAUUAGCUAGUUGGUAGGGUAAAGGCCUACCAAGGCGACGAUCUAUAGCUGGUCUGAGAGGACGAUCAGCCACACUGGGACUGAGACACGGCCCAGACUCCUACGGGAGGCAGCAGUGGGGAAUAUUGGACAAUGGGCGCAAGCCUGAUCCAGCAAUACCGCGUGUGUGAAGAAGGCCCUAGGGUUGUAAAGCACUUUCAAUGGGGAGGAAAACCUGCCGGCCAAUACCCGGUAGCUUGACAUUACCUUUAGAAGAAGCACCGGCUAACUCCGUGCCAGCAGCCGCGGUAAUACGGAGGGUGCGAGCGUUAAUCGGAAUUACUGGGCGUAAAGCGUGCGUAGGCGGUUCGUUAAGUCAGAUGUGAAAGCCCUGGGCUCAACCUGGGAACUGCAUUUGAAACUGGCGAACUAGAGUUGAGUAGAGGGGAGUGGAAUUUCAGGUGUAGCGGUGAAAUGCGUAGAUAUCUGAAGGAACACCAGUGGCGAAGGCGACUCCCUGGACUCAAACUGACGCUGAGGUACGAAAGCGUGGGUAGCAAACAGGAUUAGAUACCCUGGUAGUCCACGCCGUAAACGAUGUCAACUAGCCGUUGG
rnacentral:rRNA from 1 species